rnacentral:lncRNA from 1 species
GUAAGUCUAAAAUCCACAGACUGGGCCAUGUUAUUUUGGCCUUUAUGAAGCUCAGCCUCCGCCAGCCCAUGUGCGCCACUAGUACAAUUACAAUUUCCUCCAUGCCUUGCAAUUGCCAGCUGCUGAUAGAUAGAUACUUUGAUACCAUUAUUCCCUUUUUCCCUCCAAUAAAGAGAUCAAGAAAGAUACCUCAACUGUUAGUGCAGACCAGAAUGCAUAAUAUUAAGUUUAUUUGAGGAAUCCCUCAAUUGAAGCGCGCGCUCUCUAUAUAUAUACUAUGAUGCAGAGCUGUAAAAGAAAGACUAUAUAUUAUAUGACCAGGAGAAGUUGAAAGCAAUUUAAGCAGAGGAGGAGGAGGAGGAGGAUGGAGCAUUAUCUGAACUGGGCAGAAGCUUUAGCCUCAGCCUCGGGCUUCAUGCUGCUGUUGGGUCUCGUCUGUUGCUGCCUCAGUUCCAACCCCCGCCAACGUGGAAGCGGCGGAAACGGCAGCUGCAGCUGCGACGCUGGUUAUGCCGGUUGCUGAUCUUACAUACUCAGCUCAUAAUUCUCCUUUUUUUUUUCCUUUCUGCAUGGUUCACUAUACUCUUGUAAUUAGUUAAUUGAAACUUAUUUCUCUUCAGCUAUAGUUCUUCUUCCCAUGAUUUUUUUUUAAUGUCGAUUUGCUUGUUUUUGUUAGCCUUUUGUUUUCCUUCUCUUGUUGGGCCUUGUCAUCAUUCUGAGAGAGCCAUGAUCAUACGAUUGCCA